rfam:Roseivivax jejudonensis strain CECT 8625 genome assembly, contig: 0008
GCCGGUAUAGCUCAGCUGGUAGAGCAACUGAUUUGUAAUCAGUGGGUCGGGGGUUCAAGUCCCUCUGCCGGCA